GAUGAACGCUGGCGGCGUGCUUAACACAUGCAAGUCGAACGAAGCAUUUAGGACAGAUUACUUCGGUUUGGAGUUCUUUAUGACUGAGUGGCGGACGGGUGAGUAACGCGUGGGUAACCUGCCUUGUACUGGGGGAUAGCAGCUGGAAACGGCUGGUAAUACCGCAUAAGCGCACAAUGUUUCAUGACAUGGUGUGAAAAACUCCGGUGGUAUAAGAUGGACCCGCGUCUGAUUAGCUAGUUGGUGAGAUAACAGCCCACCAAGGCGACGAUCAGUAGCCGAACUGGGAGGGUGACCGGCCACAUUGGGACUGAGACACGGCCGAGACUCCUACGGGAGGCAGCAGUGGGGAAUAUUGCAGAAAGGAGGAAACUCUGAUGCAGCGACGCCGGGUGAGUGAAGAAGUAAUUCGUGAUGUAAAGCUCUAUCAGCAGGGAAGAUAGUGACGGUACCUGACGAAGAAGCGCCGGCUAAAUACGUG
rnacentral:rRNA from 1 species